rnacentral:tRNA from 1 species
GGAUCUUUAGCUCAGUUGGUUAGAGCGCUUCCUUGACAUGGAAGAGGUCGUUGGUUCGAAUCCAAUAGGAUCCA